rfam:Macaca mulatta chromosome 1, whole genome shotgun sequence.
UUAACUACUGUGCCCGUAUUAAUCAAUUAGCACUAAUAUAUGAGUGCUCUUAUGUACUUCGUGUAUUACUGCUAGUCCCCAUGAAUAAUAUACA